GCGUCGGUGGUUCAGUGGUAGAAUACUCGCAUGCCACGCGGGUGGCCCGGGUUCGAUUCCCGGCCGACGCA
rnacentral:tRNA from 1 species